rnacentral:rRNA from 1 species
UGUUGACCUCGGAUCAGGUAGGAAUACCCGCUGAACUUAAGCAUAUCAAAACCGCGGGAGAAAAAA